rnacentral:tRNA from 1 species
AGGUACAUAUAGUCGGACUGAAAAUCCGCGUGUCGGCAGUUCGAUUCUGCCCCUGGCCACCA